rnacentral:rRNA from 1 species
AGUGGGGAAUAUUGGACAAUGGGGGCAACCCUGAUCCAGCAAUGCCGCGUGUGUGAAGAAGGCCUGCGGGUUGUAAAGCACUUUUAUCGGGGAAGAAUAGGUUGUCGUUAAUAGCGCCAACACUUGACAUUACCCGUUGAAUAAGCACCGGCUAACUCCGUGCCAGCAGCCGCGGUAAUACGGAGGGUGCGAGCGUUAAUCGGAAUUACUGGGCGUAAAGCGUGCGUAGGCGGAAGCUUAAGUCUGAUGUGAAAGCCCCGGGCUUAACCUGGGAAUGGCAUUGGAAACUGGGUUUCUAGAGUGUGGUAGAGGAUAGUGGAAUUUCCAGUGUAGCGGUGAAAUGCGUAGAUAUUGGAAAGAACACCGAUGGCGAAGGCAGCUAUCUGGGCCAACACUGACGCUGAGGUACGAAAGCGUGGGGAGCAAACAGGAUUAGAUACCCUGGUAGUCCACGCCCUAAACGAUGUCGACUUGUCGUUGGGGGAGUUUAAUCCUUCAGUGACGGAGCUAACGCGUUAAGUCGACCGCCUGGGGAGUACGGCCGCAAGGUUG